GGUAACAAGCAUGGGCUGGGUGUGAGGCCUUGUUCCUUUUCAUGCUGUCUGCGGGCGCUCCCAUAUCGUGACUGCCACUGAAGCAGUCUCAGGCGCAGGCUGAAGUAAGCACAAAAUGAGUGCUGAAGGUUUAAUUGAAAAGGCUGCAGUUUGGGCAGACCAAUGCAGUGCUGUGAGGAGAAGGGAAGAAGCGCUGGUGGAUUAGACAAGGAUAGUAAUAAGACUACGCCUUGCUAUAUAAGACCCCAGUACAAGCCAGGAGAUGUCUGCAGGCUGGUUCCACUUUCAGCCCAGGUGUGAUGCAAAGAAUGACAAUGACUUACACGAAUAGAUGAACACAGAUCCAAGCUCUUGUCUGUACUCCACAAAAUGCAAGCCAGCUUCAACCUGGACCUGCAGCCAUGGCAGUGAGAUACUGUGCUGCUGUCUGGGUAUUCCCUUUUGUUUGUACAGGUAGUUUCCUCUUCUGCACCCAGUAUUCAUCCCACUGUGCUUUGAUUCUGAUUUAGCUAGGUAUUUCAUUUUCACUUUACUAUUGAUUAUAAAAAAAGCCCAGUAAUUGUUUCAACUCUGUUGGACAGUUAGCUUUAUCUAUAGAUCACAUAAUGAACAGAGUACAUGUAGUAAACAACAUGCUUCAUUUCCAGGUGGCUUUGAAUUAAAUCUUCCUGUAAUCAACUCAUUACAUUAAUUUUCUUGCAGAAUUGGUCCAGAGACCUCUUCUUUCCCUCCCCUCAGCUGUGCACAGCAGGACAUCCUAAAAGACUGCGGCCUGUGCCAUUGAUGCAAUUUUGUGCUUGUGGCCCUUGGACAGUGUUUUUCCUCUGGAGGAAUUAAAAGCUACAUACAGAGAUUAUCUCAGCACGUACCUAUAUGAACACAAGCAAAUAUUUGUGGUACCUAUAGAUACAAAAAUUUGAUCAAUACUAUGAAAAAUCCUGUUGCAUCAUCACAAACCUAAACAAGUGAGGUGCAAAGUCACAGCCUGAGUGCUAUAUAGAGUAGGUAAAUGGUUCCCUAUCCUUCUGUCCUAGGAGGAACAUCAGCAAGAGUGUAGGGAGCGUAUCACUGGAUGCAGCCCCCUUCACAACCUCUUCCCGCAGCUGUUGCUGCCUCUUCAAAAUCAUGGUCCGGAAGCACCAUUUGCAGAGCCCACUGAAGUUCUGUGGUUUGCUCAUUUGCACUCUGCUCUUCUGCAGUCACAGAACAAUGCUCCUGCCAGGCUGGCACUUCAGGAAAUUCUCCCUUCUUAUAGUGGUUUCUCUUUGUACAUGGAUGACGCUUUUUUUUCCUGGGUCAUUUCCCAUAUGCCCAUUUCUGGGUCAUAGAAUUUUUAUUUUCUGGGUGCCUGAUACAGAACUAGAUCAGCGCUGUCUCACUCACAAUGGUGUUACAGAACAAGCUUGACUGCAAGUCAGUAACUCAGCAAAUUGUCAACUCAGCUGCAUCUAAACAGAAAGCUCCAAUGGACUGGAUACUUCCCAUGACCAAUUGCUGUUAGUAGUUUGCAGCAUUUGCUGCAAUUUUAAACUGCAAAGGAUAAAUAGUAUGGUUUCUUGUCCUUCUUCACAGGAACAACUGAAUCGUGGCAUAAAUGACAAGCAGUCAUUUGUUAUGUAUUUGUAGGGAACUGAUGGACUUAAAUCUCAGCCUGCAACAUGAGGAAACCAGCUCUAGUUUGUGACCGUCUAGAUCCAUGACUCUUCUCUCAUCUUCAGUGCUGAGUGAGCUGGCAGAUUUUUGCUUCCCUCUUGAGAGCGAAGAACAGUCUGCCUUCUCACUGUCAGGAGAAGAAAUAUUGCUCUCCCCUUGCCCACCUACAGGUGCUACUAAGGGAGCUUUGCUGUUUUCUGAGACUUACUCAGUCAACUUGCCUUUCUGCUCAUGUUGUAACCUCCCUGCAUUAUAGUAUUCACUCUCCCAGGGCUCUGCUGUAAAUACACCAGGCCUAGGAUACAGAAAGGACACAUUUCUGGCAUAGAAUAAGAUAUUAAAACCCACAACUGAUUAUUUUAGAGAUUAAAUUACUGGAGCUCUUUGCAGUGUUGUAUAAGGAAUUAAUUGUGCACAUACACAGAUCUACCUGCUAUGAAAUAAGUAGACAAGGCAUACUUUCCCCAUGAGGAAAAGCUGCCACAUACGUACUUUCAUACUGCAGGCAACACCUCUCUGGAACUGCCCAACAAACCCUGAACCACCCAUAAGCAAAGCAGCCCGGCGGACAUAUGCAGGUCUCCUCCACCUGAGCUGGCACAGGCAGGAGAUCCAAAAGAAGCCUAGAAGGGACAGUACAGGGAAUGCAGCAGCAUUAACAAUAUGCAGAAAUAACUAAGAAGGAGAAAAAGAAAAGAGCCAGCCCAAACCUGAUAGAGAUCUUUAAUUUAAAAACCAAGUCAGUUUAUUCAUUGGGAAAGUGCAACAAAAUACCCCAGGGACAGUGCAUUCCACUCCAACAAUUAAAAUUGCAUUAAAAAGCAGAUAAGAAGGUCUGAGUCUUAAAGAAAACUGGCACAAAAGCUAGUGCUUUUUUUUG